GUCAGGAUGGCCGAGCGGUCUAAGGCGCCAGACUCAAGCAGUUGCUUGCCAAACUAAAACUUGGUAAACAGGAAUUCUGGUCUUCGAUAGAAGGCGUGGGUUCAAAUCCCACUUCUGACA
rnacentral:tRNA from 1 species